GAUCCUGGCUCAGAAUCAACGCUGGCGGCGUGCCUAACACAUGCAAGUCGAACGCGGUUACCCCGCAAGGGGUAACUGAGUGGCGAACGGGUGAGUAACACGUGGGUGACCUACCUUCGAGUGGGGGAUAACGUCCCGAAAGGGACGCUAAUACCGCAUAACAUCCUGCCUUUGAACAGGCGGUGAUCAAAGCCGGGGACCGUAAGGCCCGGCGCUUGAUGAGGGGCCCGCGUCUGAUUAGCUAGUUGGUGGGGUAACGGCUCACCAAGGCGACGAUCAGUAUCCGGCCUGAGAGGGCGGACGGACACACUGGGACUGAGACACGGCCCAGACUCCUACGGGAGGCAGCAGUGGGGAAUUGUUCACAAUGGGCGCAAGCCUGAUGACGCAACGCCGCGUGGAGGAUGAAGGUCUUCGGAUUGUAAACUCCUGUUGCCCGGGACGAAAAGCUUCGACCUAAUACGUCGAAGUCUGACGGUACCGGGUGAGGAAGCCCCGGCUAACUCUGUGCCAGCAGCCGCGGUAAUACAGAGGGGGCAAGCGUUGUUCGGAAUUACUGGGCGUAAAGGGCGCGUAGGCGGCCUGCUAAGUCGAACGUGAAAUCCCCGGGCUCAACCCGGGAACUGCGUCCGAUACUGGUAGGCUUGAAUUCGGGAGAGGGAUGCGGAAUUCCAGGUGUAGCGGUGAAAU
rnacentral:rRNA from 1 species